AGUCAAAUAUCUCACUAGCACUGUCGUUCGAAUAAAUAUUCGCAAUUUUACACAUGGAGGUUUGUCUGUAUUAUGACAACAAUGAGCACAUUUAUUUUACACAAAUGUGGUCUUAUCGGUUAGGCUUCCGAUAAAAUAAAGGCAAAUAAACCACAAAUCUACCUCAAGUAGACUUGUUACCUGACUAAAUACUUUGAUUUGCAAUUUUUUUAAGCAUUCACUUUCACAACUCCGUAAAAUUGCACUAAACAAGUGUCGCAUACACGUCUAAAUUUAGACAAUAAAAAGUCAGAUGACAACAAAAAAUAGACUUCUCGCCAGGUCAACCACAAAACAUCAGAAUUAUUUCCGAUUCUUUUCGGUUUUGGUACUUUUGCCAAAAAAAAGAAAACAAUCUUUCAACUUACUAUGUUUCUCUGUAAAUUGUAAUUGUAAAAUCAGUUGAGUCCUGAGGAUUAAAAAAAAA